UACGAAGGGAGCUAGCGUUGUUCGGAAUCACUGGGCGUAAAGGGUGCGUAGGCGGGUCUUUAAGUCAGGGGUGAAAUCCUGGAGCUCAACUCCAGAACUGCCUUUGAUACUGAGGAUCUUGAGUUCGGGAGAGGUGAGUGGAACUGCGAGUGUAGAGGUGAAAUUCGUAGAUAUUCGCAAGAACACCAGUGGCGAAGGCGGCUCACUGGCCCGAUACUGACGCUGAGGCACGAAAGCGUGGG
rnacentral:rRNA from 1 species